rnacentral:rRNA from 1 species
UACGGAGGAUCCAAGCGUUAUCCGGAAUUACUGGGCGUAAAGAGUUGCGUAGGUGGCAUGGUAAGUUGAUAGUGAAAGCGUGCGGCUCAACCGCAUACACAUUAUCAAAACUACUAAGCUAGAGGGCGAGAGAGGUACCUGGAAUUCCUAGUGUAGGAGUGAAAUCCGUAGAUAUUAGGAGGAACACCGAUGGCGUAGGCAGGGUACUGGCUCGUUCCUGACACUAAGGCACGAAAGCGUGGGUAGCAAACGGG